rnacentral:rRNA from 1 species
CGUGUCGUGAGAUGUUGGUUAAGUCCCGCGACCGAGCGCAACCCUUGUCCUUAGUUGCCACCAUUCAUUGGGCACUCUAAGGAGACUGCCGGUGUUAAACCGGAGGAAGGCGGGGAUGACGUCAAGUCCUCAUGGCCCUUAUAUCCAGGGCUACACACGUGCUACAAUGGCCGGUACAAAGGGUCGCAAUACCGCAAGGUGGAGCUAAUCCCAAAAAGCCGGUCUCAGUUCGGAUUGGAGUCUGCAACUCGACUCCAUGAAGUCGGAAUCGCUAGUAAUCGCGUAUCAGCAUGACGCGGUGAAUACGUUCCCGGGCCUU